rnacentral:rRNA from 1 species
AUUGAACGCUGGCGGCAUGCCUUACACAUGCAAGUCGAACGGCAGCACGGGAGCAAUCCUGGUGGCGAGUGGCGAACGGGUGAGUAAUAUAUCGGAACGUGCCCAGUAGUGGGGGAGUAGCCCGGCGAAAGCCGGAUUAAUACCGCAUACGACCUGUGGGUGGAAAGCGGGGGAGUCGCAAGACCUCGCGCUAUUGGAGCGGCCGAUAUCAGAUUAGCUAGUUGGUGGGGUAAAAGCCCACCAAGGCGACGAUCUGUAGCUGGUCUGAGAGGACGACCAGCCACACUGGGACUGAGACAUGGCCCAGACUCCUACGGGAGGCAGCAGUGGGGGAAUUUUGGACAAUGGGCGCAAGCCUGAUCCAGCCAUGCCGCGUGUGGGAAGAAGGCCUCGGUUGUAA